rnacentral:misc_RNA from 1 species
AACUUUCGACAAUGGAUCUCUUGGCUCUCGCAUCGAUGAAGAACGCAGCGUAAUGCGAUAAGUAAUGUGAAUUGCAGAAUUCAGUCAAUCAUAGAAUCUUUGAACGCAUCUUGCGCUCCCUGGUAUUCCUAGGAGCAUGCCUGUUUGAGUGUCAUUUAAGUUCUCAAUCACACUUUGGUGUGGCUUGGAUGUGGAGGGUUUCUUGCAGGCUUUGUUAUAUGAAGUCAGCUCCUCUGAAAUGCAUUAGCAAUAUCUGAGCAGAGAAAAACCUGGUGUGAUAAUUUAUCUAUGCCAAUUAUUAUGCUGCAAUAGAACAGAUUGUACUGCUUCCAAUAAACAAAACUUUAUUGAAUAAUUUGACCUCAAAUCAGGUAGGACUACCCGCUGAACUUAAGCAUAUCAAUAAGCGGAGGCU